AUUGAACGCUGGCGGAAUGCUUUACACAUGCAAGUCGAGCGGCAGCGCGGCCUUCGGGCUGGCGGCGAGCGGCGAACGGGUGAGUAAUGCAUCGGAACAUGCCCAGUCGUGGGGGAUAACACUUCGAAAGAAGUGCUAAUACCGCAUACGUCCUGAGGGGGAAAGCGGGGGAUCGCAAGACCUCGCGCGAUUGGAGUGGCCGAUGUCAGAUUAGCUAGUCGGUGGGGUAAAGGCCUACCAAGGCGACGAUCUGUAGCUGGUCUGAGAGGAUGAUCAGCCACACUGGGACUGAGACACGGCCCAGACUCCUACGGGAGGCAGCAGUGGGGAAUUUUGGACAAUGGGGGCAACCCUGAUCCAGCCAUUCCGCGUGAGUGAAGAAGGCCUUCGGGUUGUAAAGCUCUUUCGGCAGGAACGAAACGGUGGGCUCUAACAUAGUCCGCUAAUGACGGUACCUGAAGAAGAAGCACCGGCUAACUACGUG
rnacentral:rRNA from 1 species